rnacentral:lncRNA from 1 species
CUCUCUCUCUCUCUGAUUCCCGCAUCGGUGUAUCAACCUCAUAUGAAACACUCUUUGUGUUAUGAUUAUUUUGUUAAUAUUUUAGGAAUAAGACAAGUAAAUUGAGAGAUAGAGAGAACUUUUUCUGCUCUUUAAAACUGUUCCGGUUUUAAUUUGAAAAAAUAUGUCCUCUCUUUUAUACUUAUCAGAAAAGAUGCAUUAGACUUCUUUUGUUUACUGUAGACAUAACACUGCAAAAUGAGCAUUAUCUUCAAAUCAAGAAAAUGAUAAUAUCUCUAGAAAAGAUCAUUGCAUUGGCACCAAACCUUUUUAUUUACAAUUUAGGUAUGCCUAAGAGUAUUUUCUAUGUUAUUUUUUGUGACUUUUUUGUUAUUUAGUAUUUUUAAAAGUUAAAAUUAGGAUGGAAGACUUUUUUUGUCAAAGAGAGAGUAUUUUGAUAAUUGCAUCCGUGCCUCAUUUUUCACUUUUUGAAAACCGUUUUUCAGCCUUCAAUUUUUGUGCAUUGACUGGAAAUAUAUUGAAAACUCUUAACAUUGACAUGAUAUAACUCUAUCUUUUAGAGAAUAUGAAAAAUUAACUCUCUGAAUUAUAAAAAACAUCAUACCAAAUUUUAGCAUUUCUAUUAUCUCUAUGUACUGAGCCUAUGCAAACCUUAUUUUGUAUUGCUCAGUUUGAAUGCUUAUAUUCGUGAAAAUAUCCCAUGGCUUAACACAGUUUUUAUGAAAAGCUAUAAUUCAAGACUUAAUAUUUCAUAUUACCUUUUGUUCAUUUCGAUAAUUUUAUAUUUUCAUCACCAAAAAUUAGUUUGAAAUUCGAAUAAUUUAAAAGAAUUUUAAUACUCUCAGAGAGCGCCAUCUAUUGACCAGGCCGUGUACAUUUUACAUUCAACAUACACACUUAACAUGGGUUAUGUAUUAUGCGAAUUUCAUGCUCUUGACUUGGGUUUAGUAUCUACGAUGAUCGUUUCCCGGAUUCAAUAGUCAAAGGAAUUAGUUUGUGCUAUGACAUUUCGACUACUAUUAGAGAGAAAUCACCAAAAUGUGUUCAUUACAUGUGCAUUGCAAGAAAGUCCGCGAAACUCGAGAAAUUACUACACAAGAGAAGGGGCUACAGACAGCAAUUUAUCGGCUUUGCUACACUGAAUAUCCCCGAGCGUAGCCCGGGGGCUAACCCUAGGUGCCGCUGGCUUCUCCUCCGCCAGACUGACUGUGUAUCGGACUCAAGUACUCAGCUCAGCUCAGCUCGGCGUUUGUGUUAUUUAUCGUACCGGACACCAAUCCCGCAUUCAAAGGAUACAGGUAAAACACUGGAAGUUCCCAAAAUGCCAGGUGUCAGGAUGGACAUACAUUUUACCUUGCCAGCUCACACAAGACAAAGAGGGGAUUAUUAUUAUAUUGCUCCAUCUCUGGAAAGCUUUAGGGGCACAGUCUAGCAUGCACUACCACGCCUUCUGCAACAUUUCCACUGAUCUGUGGCGUUCCUCAAGGAGCCGGAGGCCACCCAUGAUACCCAGGAGGGGUCCCUCCCCUUUUGACCCUAGUUGACCUCCAGAACAUCAAGCUCAAAAGUUUCUCUAGAAGACUUUCAUGCCUCAAGAAGCCCGUAUUCAGUCUUUGCACAAGGAGGGGACAGAUAUGACAUUCUAUCUUAACAGCAUUGACUGAAACAAGAUGUCGCAGCCUUACAUUCUGGUGAUAGGUUCAAGGAUCAACCCCCUUCAAUUCUUUGUAAUUGUGGAGAGACAAGCACUGGAGUUCAAGACAAUGACCAAGGCAGUAGACUUUUGUUUUAAACUGAUAUACGUGCCGGAUGUUCAGUACCAGGCUGCUUGCAUAGGAAUGUGGGAGUUCCUACAGAAUAUGUAAUUGCCAGAAGCAAAAACUGUUGCAGUUUCAACAUCUGUGCGGGAGCUCCGCACAUUUUUGGCAAAUGAAGAAAAGUAAGCUGUCGAGCUCCAUCAGCUACAUUGUAUGAGACUAACAGCCUGGAUAGAAAUUGUAAGUGAUAGACUUGAAUUUAUCUUUUCUGAAACUCCAGGUUUGUGAAUAAAGAUCUGACAACGAAAGCAAUUUUAUUUUAAAAAAUUCUUAAUUAUGUAAGUUUUUGAACAUUGGUAGAUAAGAUUGGCACUUGAAGACCUACUGGUAAUACAUUUACUGGAAUAUAUCUUUGUAAAGUCGAGACAAUUUAACAAGUCUGAUGGUAAUACAUUUACUGGAAUAUAACUUUGUAAAGUCGAGACAAUUUAACAAGGCUGUGUAACAAAACAUGGGGUCUAUCGAUGUAAUUCAACUUGCUGCCAUGG